GGGCGGCAGCAAGAGCCGCCCACGGCAAUUAAAACGGCCACGCCGACCAUGGGCGGCGUGAGGGUCCGAAGCCCCUAUAAACAGUUGACGGGUUG
rnacentral:ribozyme from 1 species